rnacentral:lncRNA from 13 species
UGGCUCUCUGUCACUGACAGGACAGCAGGUCUGUCUCCUUCACUGUAUUAUAAUCUACAAGGGUAGAGCUGGGCUGUGCUGGUUACCACCGGGACCAACAAUCAGAAAGAAUGUUACAAGGCCUUGCCCAGCCUCGAACUUUCACCUCUGUUUUCCCUAAGAGGUUCCAGUCAAUACAGUUCUCUUUCCCAGCUGUCAGCCCCCACACCUGUCCCCAAGGGCAGGUGGGGCAAAGCUGCAGUCACCGUCCUGGAUGCCUGAGGAGGUAAAGGUGAAAGUCUUCCCAGCCUGCCUUCUUCUCUGAGUGUGGGGACUCGGUGGGGACAAGAUCCUGGCUAAGCCAGUUGUGUGAACCAUCUCCCCAUCUGUUUCCAACCAGCCUCAUGGGUGGGUGGGUCCAUAAACUUCCCAUCUCAUGGCUGAGGAAAUCGUUUCAAUGAGGGACACAAAGCUGUGCAAAGCAGGACUUGGAAGGAAGGGAGGUCUGGAGCCUGCUGGGAGCACAGUGGUCCAGCCGCUGGGGGUGUCACUUGGCAACUGCAAAGAAAGGGCUCUGGCUUUUCUACUGCUAGGCAUGUGUGGGAGAGACUCUGGCCAUGGUCUACAGGGACACACAUUCCAGAAGGCCUGUCACCACACCAUUGCAGCCCCAACAGGAGACCACCUCAGUGGCGAACAACAGCCCAGCGUGUGUUGAAGAAAUGAAAGUGGCAAGUAAGAAAUCAUUUGUCCAAGGCAGUGCAGGGGCGGCGGCAGCAGCAAGACUAAUGCUUACACAGCAACUACUGGAUGCGGGGCCUUCGGCCACAGCUCUCUACCUGGCAUCCUCACAGCAAUUCUAUGAGGCAGUGCCAAUGCUAUGCCCAUUUUGCAGAAUAGGAAACAGAGGUCCUCACGCGCCCUGUGAGUGAUGGAGCCAGACCAGACAGAGCUUCAGCAGGACCAGGACCAAGACAAGGAACCCCAAAGAAUAAUUCUGCCAGGCACCCUAAUAAACAAGGUAAGGAGGGAAGGAAGGGCUGGGCA